rnacentral:rRNA from 1 species
GACGAACGCUGGCGGCGUGCCUAAUACAUGCAAGUAGAACGCUGAAGAGAGGAGCUUGCUCUUCUUGGAUGAGUUGCGAACGGGUGAGUAACGCGUAGGUAACCUGCCUUGUAGCGGGGGAUAACUAUUGGAAACGAUAGCUAAUACCGCAUAACAAUGGAUGACACAUGUCAUUUAUUUGAAAGGGGCAAUUGCUCCACUACAAGAUGGACCUGCGUUGUAUUAGCUAGUAGGUGAGGUAACGGCUCACCUAGGCGACGAUACAUAGCCGACCUGAGAGGGUGAUCGGCCACACUGGGACUGAGACACGGCCCAGACUCCUACGGGAGGCAGCAGUAGGGAAUCUUCGGCAAUGGGGGCAACCCUGACCGAGCAACGCCGCGUGAGUGAAGAAGGUUUUCGGAUCGUAAAGCUCUGUUGUAAGUCAAGAACGAGUGUGAGAGUGGAAAAUUCACACUGUGACGGUAGCUUACCAGAAAGGGACGGCUAACUACGUGCCAGCAGCCGCGGUAAUACGUAGGUCCCGAGCGUUGUCCGGAGUUAUUGGGCGUAAAGCGAGCGCAGGCGGUUUGAUAAGUCUGAAGUUAAAGGCUGUGGCUCAACCAUAGUUCGCUUUGGAAACUGUCAAACUUGAGUGCAGAAGGGGAGAGUGGAAUUCCAUGUGUAGCGGUGAAAUGCGUAGAUAUAUGGAGGAACACCGGUGGCGAAAGCGGCUCUCUGGUCUGUAACUGACGCUGAGGCUCGAAAGCGUGGGGAGCGAACAGGAUUAGAUACCCUGGUAGUCCACGCCGUAAACGAUGAGUGCUAGGUGUUGGAUCCUUUCCGGGAUUCAGUGCCGCAGCUAACGCAUUAAGCACUCCGCCUGGGGAGUACGACCGCAAGGUUGAAACUCAAAGGAAUUGACGGGGGCCCGCACAAGCGGUGGAGCAUGUGGUUUAAUUCGAAGCAACGCGAAGAACCUUACCAGGUCUUGACAUCCCGAUGCUAUUUCUAGAGAUAGAAAGUUACUUCGGUACAUCGGUGACAGGUGGUGCAUGGUUGUCGUCAGCUCGUGUCGUGAGAUGUUGGGUUAAGUCCCGCAACGAGCGCAACCCCUAUUGUUAGUUGCCAUCAUUCAGUUGGGCACUCUAGCGAGACUGCCGGUAAUAAACCGGAGGAAGGUGGGGAUGACGUCAAAUCAUCAUGCCCCUUAUGACCUGGGCUACACACGUGCUACAAUGGUUGGUACAACGAGUUGCGAGUCGGUGACGGCAAGCUAAUCUCUUAAAGCCAAUCUCAGUUCGGAUUGUAGGCUGCAACUCGCCUGCAUGAAGUCGGAAUCGCUAGUAAUCGCGGAUCAGCACGCCGCGGUGAAUACGUUCCCGGGCCU